rnacentral:rRNA from 1 species
CCUACGGGAGGCUGCAGUGAGGAAUAUUGGUCAAUGGGCGGAAGCCUGAACCAGCCAAGUCGCGUGAGGGAUUAAGGCCCUGCGGGUCGUAAACCUCUUUUGCCGGGGAGCAGAGGUCCGGACGUGUCCGGGCCGGGAGAUUACCCGGAGAAAAAGCAUCGGCAAACUCCGUGCCAGCAGCCGCGGUAAUACGGAGGAUGCGAGCGUUGUCCGGUUUUUUUGGGUUUAAGGGGUCCGUAGGCGGGCAUUUAAGCCGGCGGUCAAAUGUCGGGGUUCACCCCCGGCCUGCCGUCGGAACUGGGUGCCUUGAGUGGGCGAGAGGUAUGCGGAAUGCGUGGUGUAGCGGUGAAAUGCAUAGAUAUCACGCAGAACCCCGAUUGCGAAGGCAGCAUACCGGCGCCCUACUGACGCUGAGGCACGAAAGUGCGGGUAUCGAACAGGAUUAGAUACCCGUGUAGUC